rnacentral:rRNA from 1 species
ACGCUGGCGGCGUGCUUAACACAUGCAAGUCGAACGAUGAAGCCUAGCUUGCUAGGUGGAUUAGUGGCGAACGGGUGAGUAAUACGUGAGUAACCUACCUUUAACUCUGGGAUAAGCCUGGGAAACUGGGUCUAAUACCGGAUACGACCAAUCUCCGCAUGGAGUGUUGGUGGAAAGCGUUAUGUAGUGGUUAUAGAUGGGCUCACGGCCUAUCAGCUUGUUGGUGAGGUAACGGCUCACCAAGGCGACGACGGGUAGCCGGCCUGAGAGGGUGACCGGCCACACUGGGACUGAGACGCGGCCCAGACUCCUACGGGAGGCAGCAGUGGGGAAUAUUGCACAAUGGGCGCAAGCCUGAUGCAGCGACGCCGCGUGAGGGAUGACGGCCUUCGGGUUGUAAACCUCUGUUAGCAGGGAAGAAGAGAAAUUGACGGUACCUGCAGAGAAAGCGCCGGCUAACUACGUGCCAGCAGCCGCGGUAAUACGUAGGGCGCGAGCGUUGUCCGGAAUUAUUGGGCGUAAAGAGCUUGUAGGCGGUUUGUCGCGUCUGCUGUGAAAGGCCGGGGCUUAACCCCGUGUAUUGCAGUGGGUACGGGCAGACUAGAGUGCAGUAGGGGAGACUGGAACUCCUGGUGUAGCGGUGGAAUGCGCAGAUAUCAGGAAGAACACCGAUGGCGAAGGCAGGUCUCUGGGCUGUAACUGACGCUGAGAAGCGAAAGCAUGGGGAGCGAACAGGAUUAGAUACCCUGGUAGUCCAUGCCGUAAACGUUGGGCACUAGGUGUGGGGGACAUUCCACGUUUUCCGCGCCGUAGCUAACGCAUUAAGUGCCCCGCCUGGGGAGUACGGCCGCAAGGCUAAAACUCAAAGAAAUUGACGGGGGCCCGCACAAGCGGCGGAGCAUGCG